rnacentral:rRNA from 1 species
AGAGUUUGAUCCUGGCUCAGGAUGAACGCUAGCGACAGGCUUAACACAUGCAAGUCGUGGGGCAGCGGGGGUGAAGGCUUGCCUUCACCUGCCGGCGACCGGCGCACGGGUGAGUAACACGUAUGCAACCUGGCCGUGACAGGAGGAUAACCGGUAGAAAUGCCGCCUAAUACUCCAUGACACUUUGCGGGGACAUCCCCGUGAGGUCAAAGGAAGCGAUUCCGGUCACGGAUGGGCAUGCGGCGCAUUAGCUAGUCGGCGGGGUAACGGCCCACCGAGGCGACGAUGCGUAGGGGUUCUGAGAGGAAGGUCCCCCACAUUGGAACUGAGACACGGUCCAAACUCCUACGGGAGGCAGCAGUGAGGAAUAUUGGUCAAUGGGCGAAAGCCUGAACCAGCCAAGUCGCGUGAGGGAAUAAGGCCCUAUGGGUCGUAAACCUCUUUUGCCGGGGAGCAAGAUCGGGGACGUGUCCCAGAUUGGAGAGUACCCGGAGAAAAAGCAUCGGCUAACUCCGUGCCAGCAGCCGCGGUAAUACGGAGGAUGCGAGCGUUAUCCGGAUUUAUUGGGUUUAAAGGGUGCGUAGGCGGUUUGGUAAGUUAGAGGUGAAAUUUCAGGGCUCAACCUUGACAUUGCCUCUAAUACUGUCGAACUAGAGAGUAGUUGCUGUGGGCGGAAUGUAUGGUGUAGCGGUGAAAUGCUUAGAGAUCAUACAGAACACCGAUUGCGAAGGCAGCUCACAAAACUAUAUCUGACGUUGAGGCACGAAAGCGUAGGUAGCAAACAGGAUUAGAUACCCUGGUAGUCCACGCAGUAAACGAUGAUAGCUCGUUGUCGGCGAUACACAGUCGGUGACUUAGAGAAAUCGAUAAGCUAUCCACCUGGGGAGUACGUUCGCAAGAAUGAAACUCAAAGGAAUUGACGGGGGCCCGCACAAGCGGAGGAACAUGUGGUUUAAUUCGAUGAUACGCGAGGAACCUUACCCGGGCUCGAACGGUAUGUGAACGACUCAGAGAUGAGGAGGUCCUUCGGGACACAUAUCGAGGUGCUGCAUGGUUGUCGUCAGCUCGUGUCGUGAGAUGUUGGCUUAAGUGCCAUAACGAGCGCAACCCUUGUCGUUAGUUACUAACAGGUCAUGCUGAGGACUCUAGUGGGACUGCCAUCGUAAGAUGUGAGGAAGGUGGGGAUGACGUCAAAUCAGCACGGCCCUUACGUCCGGGGCUACACACGUGUUACAAUGGGAGGUACAGAAGGCUGCUACCCGGCGACGGGAUGCCAAUCCCCAAAACCUCUCUCAGUUCGGAUUGGAGUCUGCAACCCGACUCCAUGAAGCUGGAUUCGCUAGUAAUCGCGCAUCAGCCACGGCGCGGUGAAUACGUUCCCGGGCCUUGCACUCACCGCCCGU